rnacentral:tRNA from 6 species
GGCGCCAUGGUCAAGCGGCUAAGACGUUGCCCUCUCAAGGCAAAAUCACGAGUUCGAUUCUCGUUGGCGCUACCA